GUUCUCAACCCCUAAACUAUUAUCCUUGAGUGGCUCUAAGAAGAAGAACUUUAUGGUUGAAGCAUCUAGAUCAUCCAAGCAAGCUCCUGUAGUUAGAAUGGGGCCAAAUAACAAAAGCACUCAUUCUUACCAAACACUCACUCCAUUCGAUUCCCAUAGCUCUUGGCAUUUUGCUUUUGAUUCCCAUGAGUUUCUCUCUAUCCUCCCACUGAUUUCUCACUGUUUGGAAGCUGUCGGUGACGUGAAAAGCGAAGGAUCAAGGAAAACUCCAUCCCAGUCACUGCAAAUCAUUUUUUAGACAUCUUCUGAGCUUCGUUUGUUUUAUAAAGUCAUAGAGGAACUUACACUGAGGAGAACAAGCCUUUCUAUACCCUGAAAGACCAUCUAUAUGCAUGUUGACGGAGGAAGAAGAUAAUUCUGUGGCUAUUGGAUCUAUUCUUUGUAGAUCAAUGGUCACGACGGCUCCAUAUCCAUGGUUUGAUUUGAUCCAUUCAAAAUAUGAGAUGGCUAGAUCUUCAUCCGACUGAAUAACACAGUCCGUUUCAAUCUGCGGGGUUUAAGAUGGCCAUCCAAUUUUCUUUGUUUUGAUAUACCGUGCGAUUUGAUCUUAAUCGUUAGAUCAAACCCACGGUAGAUCCAAUGUAUGAAUCCAAUAUCGUGCUAGAUAAGUGGAUCCAAUCAGUUGAUCGCCA